UCAGGUGUGGCUCAGUUGGCAGAGCACUUGCCUACUAUGCAUGUAGUCCUUGGUUCAAUACCGAGCACUGCAU
rnacentral:tRNA from 1 species